GGAUUGUGGCUCAGCGGUAGAGCGCCCGCCUUGCAUGUGCAAGGCCCUGGGUUCGAUCCUGAGCACCA
rnacentral:tRNA from 1 species